GAAAUGCUGCAGAGACCCAGCCGGAAACAGUGCUGGCCAGCUCACGCCUGACCCACCCUUAUUCUAAGCAUAGGGUCUGCCUCUGAAGAGCUAAAGACUUCCUGAAAUUUAAAAAUUAGUGCUUUUAUUUGCUUGUCCUGCUAAGACCGUAGGCAAAGGCCAUCCUCCUCCCAUUGACAGUUUAGAGUGGGCAGAAACAACCACGGUUACCCUAGAAGUAAAUCCAGAGCUGCGGGACGCUGGAGGACAAAACCAACCUUCCAGGGAAGCCGAGGAGAAGUCAUGCCUUCAAAAGAUGAAGAAACUGACAUCUGGAGAAGUUGAAGUAAUUUGCACAAAGAUUCACUUGGCUAACGGAGUUUUGCUCUGUCACCCAGGCUGGAGUGCAAUGGCCCGAUCUCGCCUCACUGCAACCUCCACCUCCCGAGUUCAAGAGAUUCUCCUGCCUCAGCCUCCCAGGGGCUGGGAAGUUCAAGAUCCAGGCCUCAGAAGAUUUGGGGUUUGGUGAGGGCCAUCUUCUCACUGUAGCCUUACAUGGUGGAAGAGGUAAGGCAGCUCUCUGGAACCUCUUUUAUAAGGGCACUAAUCCCUUUCAUGAGAACUCAGCCCUUAUGAACUCAUCGCCUCCUAAAUUCUCUACCUCCUAACACCAUCACUUUGACAAUCAGAUUUCAACAUAUGAAUUUGUGGGAGUCACCAGCAUUGAGACUAUAGCAACCCCUUAUUAGAAAUAAUUCAUGAGGAACUGAAACUGUUAGGAAACCACUGUGUAAAUGCUGGGAAACAAAGUCAGAUAAAUAAUGCUGAUAAUUACCUGA
rnacentral:lncRNA from 1 species